GUUUGCACUGAUUCUUCUGUUGCAGGGAGUGAAAGCCUGCAGGGUUUUGGUUUGGGAAGUGCAGUGAGGAACGAGUCCAAAAAAAAUAGUUCCUAACAGGGAAGCUGGCUGCAAGGUGUCUGACUCUCAUCUAAACUGGAGCUGGGCAAAGACCACCCCUUGUUUUCAAACGCUCCUAUGAAUAAUCAGCAUCCACUGGAAAGCACUCGAUAUUUGCUGGCUGAAGGCUGGAUUUGGGCAGCAGACCUGAAAGGUGGCUUAUUCUACUGUUAGAUUGUGCCAGCUGUCACAUCUGAAUAAAUUAGAAAUCCACCCAAAUUUUCUAAAUUUUCUAUGAAUUGAAGUUAAUAUGCAUAGAAACAUUACUCAUGUUUAAUUUCUAAACUAAUUUACAUCUAAACAACUGAUAAGGCAUCCAGACUGCAUAGGUAAAAGCAAAUGUCUGGUUAAACCUUACAAAGGCUUGUAAAUAUUUACUAAAUGCAUACUUCACAUCUUCUGUAGAUUAUUAUGCUAAUCUAUCUAACAAACAAAAGGUAUUGUGGAUCAGACUGCAAAGAUUUGCAAAUACUGACAGUAAAUCAAAUGCUGAGCUAAUACAGCCAUAUCAUAAACAUUUAACUUUUCGAGUGUCUUAUCUCUCAAAGCUCUGUAGUUUGUAGUUAUGUUCAUAAAAGUUCCCCCAUCUCCUUUGUUCAGCUUGUAAUUAAAGCUGACCUGAUAAGAAGACCUGCUUUCUCACUCUUGUUGGGAGGACACAGUGAUUAGAAAACCAGGGAAUUCUCACUUCUUUCCAAGCAAUGAUCUCUGCCCAGGAGUCCACUGAUUAAUUAAUGACUAUGUUUACCUGGGUGUGUGAGUUUGGGCAGAUGAGCCUUUGCACAUAGCCUGGCUGCAAGGACAAUGACAGCUGUUGGAAUGCAGCAUCCCUUAACAAUAACAUCGCACAAGCUUCACACAAAAGUCCUUACGCAGCCAUGGAGAGAUGCCACUUUUGGUCAUGUCCACCUUAAAUCAUCAUCUGUUCUAAAGCAAGAAAACUUAAGCUCUUUACAGUGCACUUUUGAAAUAUAACAUUGAAAGGUUAAAAAAGAUGUUUGUAUGAUCACGCAAGGAGUCAAUAAAAACGUGGCAUACUUGU